AUGUACCUACGGGGCGCAGCAGUGGGGAAUAUUGCACAAUGGGGGGAACCCUGAUGCAGCGACGCCGCGUGGGUGAAGGAGCACCUCGGUGCGUAAAGCCCUAUCGGCAGGGAAGAAAAGCGAACAGGGUCGCCUGGACGGUACCUGACUAAGAAGCCCCGGCUAACUACGUGCCAGCAGCCGCGGUAAUACGUAGGGGGCAAGCGUUAUCCGGAUUCACUGGGUGUAAAGGGAGCGUAGACGGCGACGGAAGGCUGGAGUGAAAGCCCGGGGCCCAACCCCGGGCCUGCUCUGGAAA
rnacentral:rRNA from 1 species